GAUAUUUUGCAAGCCCCCCUUCCUCACGCACACACAUUGUCUACCUCACGGACAGACAUACCUAACUAAAAUCCCCACCUAGCCACCGCCGCCGCCACCUCCGUGCGCUCGGCCGAUACGGUCGCGCCGCUGCCCCUCCCACCCCCGGUGUUGAAUUCAGAAGCUCCUGUCAAAUCUGCUGUGCCUCCCCACCAUCCGCAGCUUGAGGUGCCGCUGGGCUAUCUGCUCACCUGGCGGGCGUCACGCCCGCUGGUUCGCUCUCGUCGCCGCCUCUCCCAGCUCCGGCCAUUUCUUCAGUAACUUACAUCCAGCAGCCCAUGGUAUCGACCUCAACGACCGGCGACCCCCGUCUUGCCCCGCCUCUAAGUCCAGCAGCUGCAGCCUACAGGUUGAGGAACUUGUCUACGACCCGCAGAGAGAAGACAUAUUUGUCAAAGAACAUACAUGUAAAACUGGAGUUUCUCCCACACUAAGCAGAGGCCCUAAUUAAACAACUUGAUGCAGCAACUGGCAUUUCCUCAAGCAAGCGAAAAUGUGGAAACACCCUCAGAGAUUGUAGCACAAAGAUGGCGACGAGGAACUUCUAAUUUAGAUGACUUUUCGUAUGUGAUAUUAGGUAGUAUAGCAUCUGGGAGGAUCAAUCGCUUGGGUCUGGAGGAUCAGUUAAGCACAUGAAAAAGGAGACGACAAAUGGGGAUUGACAAGAAACAGACAGUAGCAAGUCCCCAGGUUGACCGAAUAAUGUCCUCAUGGUGCUGGCUUGGUGACCGAAGAUUUGGUCUUUUUGAUAAUAUUAUAUAGUGGUCGAGUGGUCAAACACUUGCCUCUUAGAAACAUUGGCUAUCAUAUUUUGCAAUAGGCCACGACUUGUAUGAUGAUACAUGUAUCUCCUUGAUGGUUGUAGUUAACUUGAGUGAAGAAAACUUGUGAAUCUUCUAUAUAUGUUGAAUGAAUAGAAGAGCCCAAUUGCUUGUGUA